ACGUGACUCCGCAUUUAUAUGCGACACUGUUGCUGCUUAGCUCCGCUCCACAGAAUAGGUUUCUCUACCCUUGGAUACCACACUCAGGCGCCCUCCCGUCAUCAAGUAUUCACUACCCGUGGCCGCCACAAGCGCUGCUUGGGCGGCGGCCGCCCUGCACCAGAAGGGAAAGUAUGUUGUGAUCACGAGAUGCUGUGAGUUUAUCCUCGCCUAGCUGCCCACGGGCACCUGCCCGCACUUGGGAUUCCUGCAGCGACAAGAUGGCGUGCAGAUGGUGUGCUGCCCACUGACUCUUCUAGCGCUGUGGCGCCCCCACCCCCGCCAGCGCUUCUGACCCGCCUGCUUUUUCGGUGAGGGCGGCCGAUCCGGAGCUGCGUCCGGUAUGCGAUGCGAGAGUCGCGGAUUGCUCGAGGCUCGAGGCGCACCUUGUUUCACGCUACGAUGCUGCGCGCACCGGUGUGAUGAUGAACAUGCCAGUUGCGCCGCAUGGCCUUUCCGCGCCGUAUGUGUGUGUGUGUGUGUGUUGUUGCCUCCACCCCUCCCCCCCCCCGUGCCCGUCGGAAGGACACGCUGUGAGCUCUCUGUGCGCGGGGGCAUGUCUGUCGGUGGGUCCCCUCCGCUUGAAACGCCCACGCCUGUGAAUGGCGCGCGGCCUCAGGGGAAGUUGGAGGUGACUGUGCUGUCGCAGACUCGUGGCAUCGCUCGACCUGUCGCGGCGCAUGCGAUGAAGCCACGCGUCUGCCAGGAGAGCAAGAGUGACGGACCGAAAAGAGCGCGAAGGGCACCAUACGAAUCGGCGCCAGGGUGCGUGUGCGCGCAGAGCAUGCGGGGCGUCCCCUGAAUCCGACCCGGGGGGGGGCUGAUAUGAGGGCACGGGUGCCGGAAGCGUGGCGGCAGCGCCCCGAGCUCGAACCAUACUGCGAUGGAGACUGAAAUGGGAAAAGCUUCCACACCAGAUUACGGAACUCCGCGGCGUGAAGCGACUGAGGGCGGAAGGCGACACAGAGGCCGGCUGUGCAGGGUCUCAGAGGACCCGGACCGGAAGCUGGCCUGGCUCCUCCCUGAGCACAUCCGGCGUGCACCUGAACCACCCCUUACUACCCCGCCCCGCAGGCUCCACGGCGUCUUCCGUCGAGCAGCACCCUUCGCCGAAGCCCGCUUGAAUCAAGUCAUGCAUCCCGCAGCCGAGUCCGUGUGGCGACAGCCGCGCGGCACUUAUGCUAGGAGGGGACGAGUAAGAGCGAGAAGAGCCCGCGGGACGCGUGGCCCGAGCCAGCGGCAGACGGUUUCGCCCUAGUCGACCAGAAUUGAGCGGCGGCUUAGCAGCGGAUAGAGAGCUGUGGGUGCGCAUGCGUACAUAUGUCUCGUUGGCGUGUUCGGGGGAGAGGGCUGGAAGUGGGCAGGUUGAUGAUGGACAAUAAAAGGAGAAAAGAUAUCGGUGCUGUAUUGGCCUUUUCGGCGCUCAUAUUUGUCGGUGUGACGGAUAGUUGACAUGACUGGACGCGUAAAGGGUGGAGAAUCAAUGAUAUUUUCGAAAAAAAAAGUAGCUGUCAGCGUAGCUUCUCCUCCCGCACGGAAUAGAUCAUGAGUUUUGCGGCUCUUUCUGGUGGCGAGAUGCUGUGCCUUCGAGGCUAGAGGAUCUCUUUCUAAAGAGGCGGCCUUUCAGUUGACUCGGAGGAAGGAUAGCCGGUGAUCUGCACAACCCCUACCCGCCCCGCUUCUGACCUACGCACGUCUUGAUGCUGUCAUCUCUCUCGGCUCCUCGGCGCUUGUGUGUUAUGCCCGCCGUGCGCCAUCUGCUUCAGUGUCUUAACUGGCAGUAGCACUCGUGUGUCGAU
rnacentral:misc_RNA from 1 species